rnacentral:rRNA from 1 species
AGAGUUUGAUCCUGGCUCAGAUUGAACGCUGGCGGCAGGCCUAACACAUGCAAGUCGAGCGGCAGCGGGAAAGUAGCUUGCUACUUUUGCCGGCGAGCGGCGGACGGGUGAGUAAUGCCUGGGGAUCUGCCCAGUCGAGGGGGAUAACUACUGGAAACGGUAGCUAAUACCGCAUACGCCCUACGGGGGAAAGCAGGGGACCUUCGGGCCUUGCGCGAUUGGAUGAACCCAGGUGGGAUUAGCUAGUUGGUGAGGUAAUGGCUCACCAAGGCGACGAUCCCUAGCUGGUCUGAGAGGAUGAUCAGCCACACUGGAACUGAGACACGGUCCAGACUCCUACGGGAGGCAGCAGUGGGGAAUAUUGCACAAUGGGGGAAACCCUGAUGCAGCCAUGCCGCGUGUGUGAAGAAGGCCUUCGGGUUGUAAAGCACUUUCAGCGAGGAGGAAAGGUUGGUAGCUAAUAACUGCCAGCUGUGACGUACUCGCAGA